AACGCAUCUUGCGCUUCUUGGUAUUCCGAGAAGCAUGUCUGUUUGAGUGUCAUCAACUUCUCAAUCAUGCUAGCUUGAACUUUCAAGCUGGUUUGAAUUGGAUCAUGGGCGGUUGCAGGUUUCUUUGAAUUCUGCUCGUCUGAAAUACAUUAGCAUAGGAUUUUAUCUUCAAUCGCUUAUCAUUGGUAUGAUAACUGUUUAUACUGCCGUUGAUGCGUUUUGAACUGUGCUUCGAGUGGUUUGCCUGGCAAACAGUUAUAUAUGAAAAAUUUGACCUCAAAUCAGAUAGGAUUACCCGCUGAACUUAA
rnacentral:misc_RNA from 1 species